UACGGGGGGGGUAAGCGUUGUUCGGAAUUACUGGGCGUAAAGGGCGCGUAGGCGGCUUGGCAAGUGGAAGGUGAAAUCCCUCGGCUUAACCGAGGAACUGCCCUCCAAACUGCUUUGCUUGAGGCCGGGAGAGGUGAGUGGAAUUCCCAGUGUAGCGGUGAAAUGCGUAGAUAUUGGGAGGAACACCAGUGGCGAAGGCGGCUCACUGGACCGGUUCUGACGCUGAGGCGCGAAAGCGUGGGGAGCAAACGGG
rnacentral:rRNA from 1 species